rnacentral:hammerhead_ribozyme from 1 species
AUCCAUCUGACGAGUCCCAAUAGGACCAAACGCGCGUCAGACUGGAU